AAUGUGUCUGAAGCACUGAAGACAAUGGCUAAUAUCCAGGAGGCACUCGGUAGAAAUAUUUGUUGAGUUAAUAAAUAUAAGUUGGGACGAGUUGCUGCACUUCUCUGGGCCCCUGUAUCUGUGAAUUAGGGAUUACAAUCUGUCCCUGGAGCAGUGGGUGUUAGGGUGGGAAUCAUGUUAGAUAACGAUUGUUACCACCCUUCAUACAUCAUAAGGUAUUAUGCAAGUAAGAGAGGGUGGCGGAAAACUGAUCUUCACUGAGUACUCUUGAUGUCAGAUACUUUCCAUAAUGUAUCUCAUUUCAUUAUUGCCAUUUUACAGAUGAGGAGACUGAGGCUCAGAAAGGUGAAUUAACUUGUCCUGACAUCACAGUGUGGAACAUAAUACAACUGGAUCUAAGCUUAAGCAAACACGUGAUGAGGGAACAAGUAAACAGGCAGACAAAAUCGUUACUGGAGUAGGAGGCUGUGGACAUCUGAAGAAAUACCACAGAGGAAGCCUAUACUGCCAUCUUUUUCUCAUUUUUUCUGACAGGAUCUAUAUCAAUUCCUUUUUUCCAUUCCUUAAUUCUAUUAUUUUUAACUACAUAAGACAUUUUGUUACAGGAAAACCAGAAAACCCGAAAACCCAGAAGAAAAUGAAAAUCAUUCACAUUCCCUCCUUUCAGAGAAGGCUAUGACUAUUACAUUUUCAUUGCUUUUUUCCCAUCAACUUUCACAUGCACCAACAUAUAGAGAGUAUUGUUUUUAAUAUUAUUUUACAGAAAUGGUAUCAAACUUGGUGUAUUUCCUCCUCUUUAUUAGUACAUAUCACGAGUGUCUUUCCUUGCUAAUAAAUAUGGAUUGAGUUAAUGUUUAAUGGCUGCCUACUAUUAAAUUCUGUUGUAUGGAUGUCUUAUAAUUUAUUUAAGAACAGUCCUAUUGAUGCACCUUUAGAUUGUUUCUAAGUUUUCAUUCUUAUAAACCAAGCUGAGAUAAGCAUCCUGGCAGCUAAAUAUCUGUACUCAUUCAUGCUUUCUUUCUUAAGAUAAAUUCCUAGAAGUAGUAUUUCCAAAUAAAUAGAUAUACAUAGUUUUGCUGGUACUGUAUUUUUGCAUGCCCAUAAAAAAUAUAUAUAUACA
rnacentral:lncRNA from 1 species